rnacentral:lncRNA from 1 species
CGCUUUAACGAGAGACGUCUCAGCUACAAGAUUUUACUUUUUACGUUGUCUGGGGACGACUCGGCUCUUUACGGGGACGACUCUGGAAUUGUACCGUUUGAAUCCUUGCCUUUCUGAUUUGCUGAGAGGGUCGUCUCUGCACUUUACGGGGAUGUCUCGGCUUGUUUGCACUUUUUGAAUGGGGAUGACUCCGCUCCCUCAGGGACGACUCCGCUUCUUUAUCUCAGAAAAACAUGUCUUCUGGAAUUCCCUGAGAGAGUCGACUCCGCUCUUUCAGGG